CAAGCAGACCGCCUUAUCGCUUCUAAUUUAUUAGGAGAGGAAAGUCCGGACACCAUAGAGAAGCAUAGCGGGUAACGCCCGUCACUCCGAUGUAUCGGAGGAGGACAAGUGCAACAGAAAGUAUGUACAGGUUAAGCUGUAGUGAAACCAGGUAAACUCUAUGCGGUGAAAUUUCAAGUAUAUCAGCAUUUAAGGGUUUCUCGUCCGUUGUUGAAGGGUAGAAAGAUAGAUUCCGCGAGUAAUUUCGGAACUAGAUAAAUGAUAAGGGUUCCGAGGUUUCGGAAUACAGAAUCCGGCUUAUAGGUCUGCUUUUUUU
rnacentral:RNase_P_RNA from 1 species